rnacentral:rRNA from 1 species
UACGGGGGGGGCAAGCGUUGGUCGGAAUUACUGGGCGUAAAGGGCGCGUAGGCGGCCUUCUAAGUCAGACGUGAAAUCCCUCGGCUCAACCGAGGAACUGCGUCUGAUACUGGAAGGCUUGAAUCCGGGAGAGGGAUGUGGAAUUCCAGGUGUAGCGGUGAAAUGCGUAGAUAUCUGGAGGAACACCGGUGGCGAAGGCGGCAUCCUGGACCGGUAUUGACGCUGAUGCGCGAAAGCCAGGGGAGCAAACGGG